rnacentral:lncRNA from 1 species
GUUGAUUUGAGUUAUCUUGUGAUAUCUGGUAACCUGAAAGUCACAUGGACAGUUGAAAUAUGUAUUUCAUUGCUUCCCUGACAAUUCAGAGCAAAAGAGCUUACAAUUUCUCCUGUUCAUAAAGCUAGGUGUUUUCCCAAGGAUACUAUAGCAGGACUCAUGCAAGACUUAAACCAGCGACCUAAGAUAAAACUCCAUAAAAGCAGCGGAAGAGGCCAGUCAUAACCACCAUCAGCUUUCCUUCUUUUUCUCAGGACUCCACGUUAUGGCCGAUAUGAUGGAAAAGAUUAAAUUCCUCUUCCGGGUGUCGGUUUUGCUGAGUUGUCUGUGGUGUCUGGAUACCAAUGGCAACAUAGUGGCCGUAGGAGAAGGGCAGAAGGCCACUCUGGACUGUCUCCUGACCCUGGACAACAGAACAAGAACUGUGAGCUGGUACAAGCAGAGACAAGGAGAUGGGCCACAGUUCAUUCUCAGUUACACGCUCAAGAACAUCUCACGUCUGUCCUAUGGCAAUGGAAUCGAACGUCUGUCAUAUGGCAAUGGAAUCGACUCUAGUCGGUUUACUGUUCAAACCAAGGAGGAUAAUGCCCAACAGCAACAGUUAGAAAUAUUGGCAACUACAAGAAAUGACACAGCUGUCUAUUACUGUCUGCUGUCCAGCAGCGAUCUCCAAGAAAUGAAAACAAACUACACUGUGAGCGGGUAAAGACAGUGUGUCUGUUUUGAAAGUUUGACACUACAAGUAAUGUCUUUUCUCCUGUAAUAUUUUCUUAUCAUGAAAAUAGUUUUCAUUCCAGUUUAUGAAUAUUCAUGUUUAACACCUGGAAGAUUGCUUUCUGUGAAUUGUGCUGUUGUAGGAGAGGGUCUUGUGAACAGAUUACUGC